rnacentral:rRNA from 1 species
AUUGAACGCUGGCGGCAGGCCUAACACAUGCAAGUCGAACGGCAGCACAGAAGAGCUUGCUCUUUGGGUGGCGAGUGGCGGACGGGUGAGUAAUGUCUGGGAAACUGCCCAAUGGAGGGGGAUAACUACUGGAAACGGUAGCUAAUACCGCAUAACGUCGCAAGACCAAAGUGGGGGACCUUCGGGCCUCACACCAUCGGAUGUGCCCAGAUGGGAUUAGCUAGUAGGUGGGGUAAUGGCUCACCUAGGCGACGAUCCCUAGCUGGUCUGAGAGGAUGACCAGCCACACUGGAACUGAGACACGGUCCAGACUCCUACGGGAGUCAGCAGUGGGGAAUAUUGCACAAUGGGCGCAAGCCUGAUGCAGCCAUGCCGCGUGUAUGAAGAAGGCCUUCGGGUUGUAAAGUACUUUCAGCGGGGAGGAAGGCGGUGAGGUUAAUAACCUCGCCGAUUGACGUUACCCGCAGAAGAAGCACCGGCUAACUCCGUGCCAGCCGCCGCCGUAA